rnacentral:rRNA from 1 species
GAUUAUGGCUCAGAAUGAACGCUGGCGGCAUGGAUUAGGCAUGCAAGUCGAACGUACUCCCUUCGGGGAGAAAGUGGCGAAAGGGUGAGUAACACGUGAGCAACCUGCCUCCGGAUCCGGAAUAAUCCAGGGAAACUUGGUCUAAAACCGAAUGAAGACAUUGGUCCGCAUGGUCUAAUGUUAAAAUAUUUAUAGUCCGGAGAGGGGCUCGCGGCCCAUUAGCUUGUUGGCGGGGUAAUGGCCCACCAAGGCUACGACGGGUAGGUGGUCUGAGAGGAUGGUCACCCACACUGGGACUGAGACACUGCCCAGACUCCUACGGGAGGCUGCAGUCGAGAAUCUUCCGCAAUGGGCGCCAAGCCUGACGGAGCGAUGCCGCGUGAGGGAUGAAGGCCUUCGGGUUGUAAACCUCUGUCAUCCGGGACGAAAACAAUGACGGUACCGGAAAAGGAAGCCACGGCUAACCACGUGCCAGCCGCCGC